GACGAACGCUGGCGGCGUGCUUAACACAUGCAAGUCGAACGGAAAGGCCCUGCUUGCCGGGUACUCGAGUGGCGAACGGGUGAGUAACACGUGGGUGAUCUGCCCUGCACUUCGGGAUAAGCCUGGGAAACUGGGUCUAAUACCGGAUAGGAGCCAUUUUUAGUGUGAUGGUUGGAAAGUUUUUUCGGUGUAGGAUGAGCUCGCGGCCUAUCAGCUUGUUGGUGGGGUAAUGGCCUACCAAGGCGGCGACGGGUAGCCGGCCUGAGAGGGUGGACGGCCACAUUGGGACUGAGAUACGGCCCAGACGCCUACGGGAGGUAGCAGGGGGGAAUAUUGCACAAUGGGCGCAAGCCUGAUGCAGCGACGCCGCGUGGGGGAGGACGGCCUUCGGGUUGUAAACGCCUUUCGCUAGGGACGAAGCUUUUUGUGACGGUACCUAGAUAAGAAGCACCGGCUAACUACGUG
rnacentral:rRNA from 1 species